GAUAAACGCUGGCGGCGUGCUUAACACAUGCAAGUCGAACGGAGUACUUCUCCCGAGACCGAGGAAGCUUGCUUCCAAAGAAUCAUUUGAAGUACUUAGUGGCGGACGGGUGAGUAACGCGUGGGUAACCUGCCUCACACAGGGGGAUAACAGUUGGAAACGACUGUUAAUACCGCAUAAGCGCACAGUAUCGCAUGAUACAGUGUGAAAAACUCCGGUGGUGUGAGAUGGACCCGCGUCUGAUUAGCUAGUUGGUGAGGUAACGGCCCACCAAGGCGACGAUCAGUAGCCGGCCUGAGAGGGUGUACGGCCACAUUGGGACUGAGACACGGCCCAAACUCCUACGGGAGGCAGCAGUGGGGAAUAUUGCACAAUGGGGGAAACCCUGAUGCAGCGACGCCGCGUGAGUGAUGAAGUAUUUCGGUAUGUAAAGCUCUAUCAGCAGGGAAGAUAA
rnacentral:rRNA from 1 species